GGUAGCUCAGUUGGUAGAGCAUGAGACUCUUAAUCUCAGGAUUAUAGGUUGAAGUCCCAUGUGGGGCA